UGGCACGUUUUGCACUGUCAUCUUGUCCUAAUUUUGGCUAUUCAUGGUGUUAAGAAAGGGGAUUUCACUCAUAUUUGACAUUUGUGUGAAUUGUAGGUGGUUAGCAUUAAAAAGAUAUCGCGGGGAAAAUUUCCAGAAGACUUUUCAUUUCAGAGCGUGGCCACGCCUUAGAAGGAGGACGAAACCGAAAGCCGGACCGUGGUCCACGUGAACCCGAAGCAUUGGAUUAAAACUCCAAAGGAAAUAGCUUCUAUUAGCUGAAAUUGCUCCAGACGUCUCUGCUUUUAGACUUGAAUUGCGGCGGCUAUAUAAAGAGGACGAAGCAAGAUUGGAAAGGAAUCAACUUUUUAGCCUUA
rnacentral:lncRNA from 1 species